GGAGUUGUGGCUCAAUGGUAGAGCACUUGCCUGGCAUGUGUGAGGCCCUGGGUUCAAUCCUCAGCACCA
rnacentral:tRNA from 1 species